GAUGAAGAACGUAGCGAAAUGCGAUAAGUAAUGUGAAUUGCAGAAUUCAGUGAAUCAUCGAAUCUUUGAACGCACAUUGCGCCCCUUGGUAUUCCGGGGGGCAUGCCUGUUCGAGCGUCAUUUCAACCCUCAAGCUUCUGCUUGGUCUUGGGCCGUGCCGGCAACGGCUGGCCUUAAAACUAGUGGCGGUGCCAUCGAGCUCUACGCGUAGUAAUUCUAUCUCGCGUCUGGGCUUCGGUGGACGCUGGCCAGCAACCCCCAAUUUUCUAUGGUUGACCUCGGAUCAGGUAGGGAUACCCGCUGAACUUAAGCAUAUCAAUAAGCGGAGGA
rnacentral:misc_RNA from 1 species